rnacentral:rRNA from 1 species
UACGUAGGAGGCGAGCGUUGUCCGGAAUUAUUGGGCGUAAAGAGCUCGUAGGCGGUUUGUCGCGUCUGCUGUGAAAACUCGGGGCUUAACUCCGGGCCUGCAGUGGGUACGGGCAGACUAGAGUGCGGUAGGGGAGACUGGAAUUCCUGGUGUAGCGGUGAAAUGCGCAGAUAUCAGGAGGAACACCGGUGGCGAAGGCGGGUCUCUGGGCCGUAACUGACGCUGAGGAGCGAAAGCGUGGGGAGCGAACAGG